CACUGACUGCUAUCGGAUUGGUACUAAGCCAUGCGAGUCGUUGUAGCAAUACAAGGCGGACUGCUCAGUAACACGUAGUUAACUUAACCUAUGGAUGGGAAUAACCUCGGGAAACUGAGAAUAAUACCCAAUGGGCCACAGUGCCUGGAAUGGCCUGUGGUUGAAAUGAUUUAUCGCCGUAGGAUAGGACUGCGGCCUAUCAGCUUGUUGGUGAGGUAAUGGCCCACCAAGGCUAUAACAGGUACGGGCUCUGAGAGGAGGGGCCCGGAGAUGGGUACUGAGACACGGACCCAGGCCCUAUGGGGCGCAGCAGGCGAGAAACCUUUGCAAUGUGCGAAAGCACGACAAGGUUAAUCCGAGUGUCUCCUGCUAAAGGAGUCUUUUGUCAGUUGUAGAAUCACUGGUGAAUAAGGGGUGGGCAAGUUCUGGUGUCAGCCGCCGCGGUAAAACCAGCACCUCGAGUGGUCAGGAGGUUUAUUGGGCCUAAAGCAUCCGUAGCCGGUUGCAUAAGUUUUCGGUUAAAUCUAUGCGCUUAACGUAUAGGCCCGCCGAAAAUACUGUGCAGCUAGGGAGUGGGAGAGGUACCCGGUACUCGAUAG
rnacentral:rRNA from 1 species